rnacentral:rRNA from 1 species
AUUGAACGCUGGCGGCAUGCCUUACACAUGCAAGUCGAACGGCAGCGCGGGAGCAAUCCUGGCGGCGAGUGGCGAACGGGUGAGUAAUAUAUCGGAACGUGCCCAGUAGUGGGGGAUAGCCCGGCGAAAGCCGGAUUAAUACCGCAUACGACAUACGGGUGAAAGGGGGGGAUCGCAAGACCUCUCGCUAUUGGAGCGGCCGAUAUCGGAUUAGGUAGUUGGUGGGGUAAAGGCCUACCAAGCCUACGAUCUGUAGUUGGUCUGAGAGGACGACCAGCCACACUGGGACUGAGACACGGCCCAGACUCCUACGGGAGGCAGCAGUGGGGAAUUUUGGACAAUGGGGGCAACCCUGAUCCAGCAAUGCCGCGUGCAGGAAGAAGGCCUUCGGGUUGUAAACUGCUUUUGUCAGGGAAGAAAUCUUCUGGGCUAAUACCUCGGGAGGAUGACGGUACCUGAAGAAUAAGCACCGGCUAACUACGUGCCAGCCGCCGCGGUAAUAC